CGCCGCGUGCGCCUGCAGCUCGCCACGCUCGAGGCCGGGCCUGGGGCGGCGGGUGCUGGCGCCGAGUGAGCCCGAGGUGAACACAUGGCCCCACCUGUCAGGGCCCGACUGGCUGAGGUGUGCAGCUGUCCCCAACAUCUUCUGGCCGGAUGCCUACCUGCCCUCCCUCUAUCCUCUGGAUAAACAGCUCUGCCUCACAGCA